rnacentral:rRNA from 1 species
UACAGAGGGUGCGAGCGUUUAAUCGGAAUUAUCGUGGGCGUAAAGCGCGCGUAGGCGGCUUUGCAAGAUCGAUUGUGGAAAUCCCCAGGCUUAACCUGGGAACUGCAUUCGAGACUGCAUAGCUAGAGUAUGGGAGAGGGAAGUGGAAUUUCAGGUGUAGCGGUGAAAUGCGUAGAUAUCUGAAGGAACAUCAGUGGCGAAAGCGACUUCCUGGACCAAUACUGACGCUCAUGUGCGAAAGCGUGGGGAGCAAACA